GCAUGUCUAAGUAUAAGCAAUUAUACAGCGAAACUGCGAAUGGCUCAUUAUAUAAGUUAUCGUUUAUUUGAUAGUACCUUACUACUUGGAUAACCGUGGUAAUUCUAGAGCUAAUACAUGCUAAAAAUCCCGACUCACGAAGGGAUGUAUUUAUUAGAUUAAAAACCAAUGCCCUCUGGGCUUCUUGGUGAUUCAUAAUAACUUCUCGAAUCGCAUGGCCUUGCGCCGGCGAUGGUUCAUUCAAAUUUCUUCCCUAUCAACUUUCGAUGUUUGGGUAUUGGCCAAACAUGGUCGCAACGGGUAACGGAGGGUUAGGGCUCGACCCCGGAGAAGGAGCCUGAGAAACGGCUACUACAUCCAAGGAAGGCAGCAGGCGCGCAAAUUACCCAAUCCGAUUCGGGGAGGUAGUGACAAUAAAUACUGAUACAGGGCUCUUUUGGGUCUGUAAUUGGAAUGAGUACAAUUUAAAUGUGUUAACGAGGAACAAUUGGAGGGCAAGUCUGGUGCCAGCAGCCGCGGUAAUUCCAGCUCCAAUAGCGUAUAUUAAAGUUGUGUGGUUAAAAAGCUGUAGCCGAACCUUGGGCUCGGCCGGCCGGUCCGUCUCACCACGUGUACUGGCCUGGCCGGGCCUUUCCCUCUGUGGAACCCCAUGCCCUUCACUGGGUGUGGCGGGGAAACAGGACUUUUACUUUGAAAAAAUUAGAGUGCUCCAGGCAGGCCUAUGCUCGAAUACAUUAGCAUGGAAUAAUAAAAUAGGACGUGUGGUUCUAUUUUGUUGGUUUCUAGGACCGCCGUAAUGAUUAAUAGGGACAGUCGGGGGCAUCAGUAUUCAAUUGUCAGAGGUGAAAUUCUUGGAUUUAUUGAAGACUAACUAACUGCGAAAGCAUUUGCCAAGGAUGUUUUCAUUAAUCAGGAACGAAAGUUAGGGGAUCGAAGACGAUCAGAUACCGUCGUAGUCUUAACCAUCGAAACUAUGCCGACUCAGGGAUCGGACGAUGUUAUUUUUUGACUCGUUCGGCACCUCAGACGAGAAAUCAAAGUGCUUGGGCUCCAGGGGGAGUAUGGUCGCAAGGCUGAAACUUAAAGAAAUUGACGGAAGGGCACCAAUUCCAGGGGCUUAACACCUACAUAAAUCCGCAUUACCUCUGCUCCGAAAAACAGCCCGAAGGGGUCAGUGGUGUGCCUGCCUGCGCUCCGGGCGCGGCGAACCAAGUGCUAUUCUCCUCUGGAGGCGACACCCUCAAACUGCGGGAAACUCCUAAAGCCAUUGUCACCAACCCGGCGUCCAAAGGCUUCGGUGGCCGGGGUAAUGACCUAGGGUACGGUAACAGCACACUGGAUAAUGCAAUGGCCGAUCCGCACCCAACCCCCGUCGCCGCAGGCACGGGGAAGGUUCAGAGACUAAAUGGGGGUGGGUAGUGAAGAGACCGAUGUAGUAUUGAUUGAAAGCAAUAAACUGUAUUCAUUCAUUCAUAAUAAACCAAUAGCACCAGAAACAACCCAGAAUACCCCGUCUAGUGUACAUUAAGAGUGCCUGCCUGUGAGGCUAAUCACAAUUUUGGUGGCUGUCCGUUUCUAUACAACCCGUUCCCUGGCAUCUGGCGGACGGAAAGGUUGCAACGCUUCCGGGGGCAACAUCGUUAUUGAUUGCAGGAGUGGUAUCCAUAUUCCCUCAUGCGGGCCCUUGAAGUAAACGUGUUCUCGGUCCCUGGCAUUUUAUUCCGGGCGGGUUUCACAUUGGGUUCUUCACCGACAAUAUGUUUUUGGAUUAAAGCAAGCCUUCGUUGUGGCAUAAUUGGGAAAUUUCGAUUUUUUCCGAUCCCCUUGGUUUGUUCCUUUCGUUAAUUGUCCCCCAGGAGUUUGUUUUUCCCGGAGCCCAGAACGGCCAGGUUGUGAAAGUACCCCUUCUUUCAUGCGGAUUUCUCUUGUUGGUUUGCCCGCCCGUCUAUGAGCGCGUGUUCCCCAGUUUGAUCGAGUUGUACCCCUUUCUCAUGUGUUGGGGGCCGGCUUGACAACCAGCAGCCCGCUUGGGUUAUCGAGGUCGGUCGAUCGUCCCAGUAGCCGCCUAGCGUGCCGCGGGUCGAUUAGCUGCCAUUUCCUUCUCGUCUUGCUCCGAAAGCUUCGCUCCCAGCGAGCUAUCGAUCCGCUACGGCGCGGGACUGCCCGGUCGAUUAUGGCCGCGCGCUCUUGGACGACGGUGGAGGCAGUGUCGACGGUGUCGGGUCGUACGUUGCCCUGGUAUAGGAACCGCUGGACUGUGUCGUAGUGCUCCUUUUCCAUGGUCGCGAUACGGGUGUCCCGCCUCGAGAUCUCUGCUUUCAGACCGGCGAACAGGCGAGCCAGGGCCUGCUCGGGCGGAAGCUGGCCGCUUCGCAUCUGAACCAUGAGAUUGUCAUAGUUGCUUUUCAUUUGAUCGUUGCUGAGUAGUGGUCGGCUCAUUGUGAUGCUGGCCGGCGGCUGCUUGGAACAGGAAGAUGAAUGAGGGAAGAAUACAGUGGAAGGCUUGCAUUGUUGCUGCGUCGGUUGUUUUAUAUAGAUGCGCCAGCCCUCGCGGUGAAUCACGAAGAUUUGCUGCGAGGCGGUGGUUGACCGCCACGAGGCGGGCGCUUAACGCUGCUAGGCGGGCGCAUAUAUUCACUGCUUAAGAUAUAGUCCGGCCGCUGCGGAAACGCUGGGGAUUGGAAAGCCCAAUAACGGGAGCCUGCGAAUUUGACUCAACACGGGGAAACUCACCAGGUCCAGACACGUCAAUGAGGAUUGACAGAUUGAGAGCUCUUUCUUGAUUUUGUGGGUGGUGGUGCAUGGCCGUUCUUAGUUGGUGGAGUGAUUUGUCUGUUUAAUUGCAUAACGAACGAGACCUUAACCUGCUAAAUAGCCAGUAUUGCUUUGGCAGUACG
rnacentral:rRNA from 1 species